rnacentral:rRNA from 1 species
CGAACGGUGAGUAAUGCGUGACCAACCUGCCCCAUGCUCCAGAAUAGCUCUUGGAAACGGGUGGUAAUGCUGGAUGCUCCAACUUGACGCAUGUCUUGUUGGGAAAGUGUUUAGUGGCAUGGGAUGGGGUCGCGUCCUAUCAGCUUGUAGGCGGGGUAAUGGCCCACUUAGGCUUCGACGGGUAGCCGGCCUGAGAGGGCGGACGGCCACAUUGGGACUGAGAUACGGCCCAGACUCCUACGGGAGGCAGCAGAA